rnacentral:misc_RNA from 1 species
CGUAAAUCCAGCUUGUCUCGCCUUCUUGUAAAUCAUUAGAGCUGCAUGAGGUGGACCGUAGCUACAUAAAGGCUCAAGAAAAGAGGUUACAUUCCCUGUAGUUACAAUGAUCCUCCGGCUUAGCAUUUCAUCAAACAUUUCAAUUGCAUCAGCUACUCUUCUCGCUUUUAGAAAAGCAGAUAUUAGUCUCAUAUAUGUAUCAGCAUUGGGCUCACAAUCCGUAUUUAACAUCCUCUCAUAAUAUUUAAAAGAUUCAUCAAUUUCACCCUGUCCAAUGCAAUUCGAAAUCAUUGCAUUGUAUAUCUCAGCAUCAAAUACGCGACCCUUUUCCUCCAAUCCCUCAAAAAUCUCAAUGGCAUCAUCAAUUCGACCAGCUCUCCCUAAACAUUCAAGAACACAACUAUAAGUCAAAUUAUCUGCCUCAAAUCCAUCAUCCACCAUUGCUUUUAAGGAUCUCUCAACUUCCUUAACUCUUCCAAAUCUCGACCACCCACCAAUGACUAUGUUAUAGGUUGUGACAUCAAAUGGAACUUUCUCUUGCAUUUUCACAAGUAAUGAACUUG